UACGUAGGGGGCAAGCGUUGUCCGGAAUCAUUGGGCGUAAAGAGCGUGUAGGCGGCCCGGUAAGUCCGCUGUGAAAGUCCAGGGCUCAACCCUGGGAUGCCGGUGGAUACUGUCGGGCUCGAGUCCGGAAGAGGAGUGUGGAAUUCCUGGUGUAGCGGUGAAAUGCGCAGAUAUCAGGAGGAACACCGGUGGCGAAGGCGGCAUCCUGGACCGGUAUUGACACUGAAAAGCGAAAGCCAGGGGAGCAAACGGG
rnacentral:rRNA from 1 species